UCUCCGUUGGUGAACCAGCGGAGGGAUCAUUACCGAGUUCCAGCAACUCCCAACCCUUGCGAACCGUACCCCAGUCUGUUCUCGUUGCUUCCGGCAGGCGGGGGGGGCCACCUGGCCCCUCCCCCUGCCGGGGGGGGCGGGCCCUCUGAACCUUUAUGUCUCAACCACUGAAACCCGUCUGAGCAAAACAAAAAAUAAUCAAAACUUUCAACAACGGAUCUCUUGGCUCUG
rnacentral:misc_RNA from 1 species